rnacentral:rRNA from 1 species
CCUACGGGUGGCAGCAGUGGGGGAUAUUGCACAAUGGGGGAAACCCUGAUGCAGCGACGCCGCGUGUGGGAAGACGGUCCUCUGGAUUGUAAACCACUGUCCCCAGGGACGAAGAUGACGGUACCUGGGGAGGAAGCUCCGGCUAACUACGUGCCAGCAGCCGCGGUAAUACGUAGGGAGCGAGCGUUGUCCGGAAUUACUGGGGGAAAAGGGGGCGUAGGCGGGACUGCAAGUUGGGUGUCAAAUCUACCGGCUCAACCGGUAGCCGCACUCAAAACUGCAGUUCUUGAGUGAAGUAGAGGCAGGCGGAAUUCCUAGUGUAGCGGUGAAAUGCGUAGAUAUUAGGAGGAACACCAGUGGCGAAGGCGGCCUGCUGGGCUUUUACUGACGCUGAGGCUCGAAAGUGUGGGGAGCAAACAGGAUUAGAUACCCGGGUAGUC